CACCUGGUUGAUCCUGCCAGUAGUCAUAUGCUUGUCUCAAAGAUUAAGCCAUGCAUGUCUAAGUAUAAGCUUUAAACGGCGAAACUGCGAAUGGCUCAUUAAAACAGUUAUAGUUUAUUUGGUGAUCGAUUACUAUUUGGAUAACCGUAGUAAUUCUAGAGCUAAUACAUGCGUCAAGGCCCGACUUCGGAAGGGCUGCGUUUAUUAGAUACAGAACCAACCUAGGCUCCGCCUAGUCCUUGUUGGUGAUUCAUAAUAACCCGGCGAAUCGCACGGCUUGUCCGGCGAUGGACCAUUCAAGUUUCUGACCUAUCAGCUAUGGACGGUAGGGUAUUGGCCUACCGUGGCGUUGACGGGUAACGGGGAAUUAGGGUUCGAUUCCGGAGAGGGAGCCUGAGAAACGGCUACCACAUCUAAGGAAGGCAGCAGGCGCGCAAAUUACCCAAUCCUGAUACAGGGAGGUAGUGACAAGAAAUAACAAUACAGGGCAAUUCUGUCUUGUAAUUGGAAUGAGUAGAUUUUAAAUCUCUUUACGAGUAUCAAUUGGAGGGCAAGUCUGGUGCCAGCAGCCGCGGUAAUUCCAGCUCCAAUAGCGUAUAUUAAAGUUGUUGCGGUUAAAAAGCUCGUAGUUGGAUUUCUGCCUUGGGCGACCGAUCCACCUUUCCUACGGGAUUGGUCGGUAUCAGGUUUGACCUUGGCUUUUUCUUGGGAUUCGUGCUCACGUACUUAACUGUGCGUUGACCGUGUUCCAAGACUUUUACUUUGAGGAAAUUAGAGUGUUUCAAGCAGGCUUAUGCCAUGAAUACAUUAGCAUGGAAUAAUAGGAUAUGACUUCGUCAUAUUUUGUUGGUUUCUAGGACUGAAGUAAUGAUUAAUAGGGACAGUCGGGGCAUUCGUAUUU
rnacentral:ncRNA from 1 species